rnacentral:lncRNA from 1 species
UAUAAAAAAUGAUUCCGAGCCCAAAAAUAAUUUUGGGCCCAGUAGAAUGUUUGGUAAUAAAUAUUGAAAAAUUUAAUUUUAUUUUCAAGAAUCAGAAAACUGAUUUUGAAGUUUUCAUAAUCAGAAGUAGAAAAAAAAUUGCUUCUUGAAAUCUAAUUCUGAUUUUAGACCCAAACUUCAAUUUUUUUUAUUUUAAUUUUAGAUUCAAAGUUUAAAUUUAAAUUUAAUUCUAAUUUUUAAAUUUCAUAUUCAUAUUUGAAUUUUUAAAUUUCAACUGUUCAAAUAUAAAAUUUAAAAUUUAGAUUUUAAACUUCAAAUUUAAAAUUUAGAUUUUAAACUUCAAAUUUAAAAUUUAGAUUUUAAACUUCAAAUUUAAAAUUUAUAUUUUAAACUUCAAAUUUUAAAUUUUAAAUUUUAAAUUUCAAGUUUUAAAUUCCAAGUUUUAAAUUUAAACUUUAAAUUUUAAAAUUUAUAUUUAUAUUUAAAAAUUCAAACUUUAAAUUUUAAAUUUAUUUUUUAAAUUAAAAUAUCAAAUUUUAAAUUUUGUACAAUUUUAAAAUUUAAAAAAUUAAUUUUAAUUCAAAUUCAAAUUUAAAUUUUAAAUUAUUUUAAAAUAAAAUUUAAUAAAAAUAUUAACUUAUAUAAAUAUUAAAAAAAUUUUGUCAAACAGGUUUAUAAAAUCAUUUUAGAAAAAUUAUUUUUAUUUAAAUUCAGCACAACGCUAUAUAAUUUUUAAUCAAAAUUAUUUUUUUAAAUUAAAAUUAAUUUUGUAAAAAUUAUUUU